CUGAUAGGAAACCCAACUGUGGACUUCUCAAAAGUGUCAAGACUGGAAUUUUGCAUAUGUUCUGGGUCUUAGGAGCUGGGCUAUGGAGUUGUUACAGAGCUGUCUCCUGUGAGUCUUAAAGCCACACCUGCCUGAUAUGGCUCUCAUCCCCUCCCAGUGGGCUGUCACCUGUGGAAAAGCUGGCUCCCCUAAGCUAAUACGGACUGCUAAGAGGUCUGCUGAGAGAAAGGUCUAACCAGGGUUGCACAUCGACAUGGCCACGUUCAGCUAAAUGUCAAUUAGAAAGUUAAGGAAGAGCGGAAAAAAGAAAAAGGAGCUUGAGCUCCAGGAAGGCCAGGAACUAUGACUGCAUACGUCAUCAAGCCCAGUGCCUGCCCACGGGAGGCACUUUGUUAAGUUUUGAUUGAAACACAUGGUGAAUGGCCAAUGCAGAAAAUAAAUUGAUAAAAUUGGACUACAUUCCUUUGGCAGCUCAAUGGACACAAAUCAUUAGAUUUUCCAUUUCAAGGACAAUGGUAGACAAUGAUUUAUAAAGAUAUGAAAGAUCAUAUAUAAUUUUAUUUGUAAAAUGAUAAUGUUCACUACAUAGUCUGAUUUGUUAAGGAGGCUAGUUUUGUUUUCAUUUUUGUUUUUUUAGCCAUACCUGAAUUUCCUAUCUAUCCUGUUUUAAAAUUCCUAAGCUUGUUAAUCCUCUACCUUCAGUGAUGUUUCUUUUUAAACCAAAUUUUUCCUGGUAAAUGUCAUGUUAACAUCAAAGACCCCAGUGUUAGUGAUUGUGAAUUUCAUCUGUUAUUAAAAACAAAAACAAAUUAUAAAGUUGCUCUUGAUUUA